rnacentral:rRNA from 1 species
CGAACGCUGGCGGCGUGCUUAACACAUGCAAGUCGAACGGUGAAGGGGCCUGCUUUUGUGGGCCCUGGAUGAGUGGCGAACGGGUGGGUAACACGUGAGUAACCUGCCCCCUUCUUCUGGAUAACCGCAUGAAAGUGUGGCUAAUACGGGAUAUUCUGGGUCUGUCGCAUGAUGGGUCUGGGAAAGAUUGCGCCUUUGGGUGUUUUUGGUGGGGGAUGGGCUCGCGGCCUAUCAGCUUGUUGGUGGGGUGAUGGCCUACCAAGGCGGUGACGGGUAGCCGGCCUGAGAGGGUGGACGGUCACACUGGGACUGAGACACGGCCCAGACUCCUACGGGAGGCAGCAGUGGGGAAUAUUGCACAAUGGGCGCAAGCCUGAUGCAGCGACGCCGCGUGAGGGAUGGAGGCCUUCGGGUUGUAAACCUCUUUCGCCAGUGAAGCAGGCCUGCUCCUUGUGGGUGGGUUGACGGUAGCUGGAUAAGAAGCGCCGGCUAACUACGUG